UACGUAGGUGGCAAGCGUUGUCCGGAAUUAUUGGGCGUAAAGCGCGCGCAGGCGGUCCUUUAAGUCUGAUGUGAAAGCCCACGGCUCAACCGCGGAGGGUCAUUGGAAACUGGGGGACUUGAGUGCAGAAGAGGAAAGCGGAAUUCCACGUGUAGCGGUGAAAUGCGUAGAGAUGUGGAGGAACACCAGUGGCGAAGGCGGCUUUCUGGUCUGUAACUGACGCUGAGGCGCGAAAGCGUGGGGAGCAAACAGG
rnacentral:rRNA from 1 species